CGGGGUGCAGCAGGCGCGAAAACUUUACAAUGCUGGCAACAGCGAUAAGGGGACCUCGAGUGCCAGGAUACAAUCUUGGCUGUCGCGAUGCCUAAAAAGCAUUGCAUAGCAAGGGCCGGGCAAGACCGGUGCCAGCCGCCGCGGUAACACCGGCGGCUCGAGUGGUAACCGCUAUUAUUGGGUCUAAAGGGUCUGUAGCCGGCCGGAUAAGUCUUUUGGGAAAUCCAGCUGCUCAACAGUUGGGCUUUCAGAAGAUACUGUUCGGCUCGAGACCGGGAGAGGUGGGAGGUACUUCAGGGGUAGGGGUGAAAUCUUGUAAUCCUUGAAGGACCACCAGUGGCGAAGGCGUCUCACCAGAACGGAUCUGACGGCAAGGGACGAAAGCUAGGGGCACGAACCGGAUUAGAUACCCGGGUAGUCCUAGCCGUAAACGAUACUCGCUAGGUGUCAGCCACGGUGCGACCGUGGUUGGUGCCGUAGGGAAGCCGUGAAGCGAGCCACCUGGGAAGUACGGCCGCAAGGCUGAAACUUAAAGGAAUUGGCGGGGGAGCACAAGGGCGAUUCGCG
rnacentral:rRNA from 1 species